rnacentral:rRNA from 1 species
CCAAGGAGUCUAACAUGUGCGCAAGUCGUCGAGUCUAUUACGAAACUCGCGAGGCGCAAUGAAAGUGAAGCGGCCCCGAUGAGGGUGCAUCCGCGAGGGGUGAUCCCGUCUCGAACAGAGCGGGCGCAACCCCUGGGCGUCCGAAUGCUCGCGAGGCGAUCCGUCAAAUGGUGAGUCGAGUCGGCCGGACGAACCCAGAGCGUACACGUUGGGACCCGAAAGAUGGUGACCUAUGCCUGGCCAGGACGAAGCCAGGGGAAACCCUGGUGGAGGUCCGCAGCGAUUCUGACGUGCAAAUCGAUCGUCGGAGUUGGGUAUAGGGGCGAAAGACUAAUCGAACCAUCUAGUAGCUGGUUCCCCCCGAAGUUUCCCUAGGAUAGCUGGUGCUCGCAAAGAGAACAAACGGAGUUUCAUCCGGUAAAGCGAAUGAUUAUAGGCCUUGGGGUCGAAACGACCUCAACGUAUUCUCAAACUUUCAAUGGUGAGAAGCCCGGCCUUUCAACUUGAUUGAGGCCGCGGCAACAAUUUUUGAAUCUGAGCGCCCAGUGGGCCAUUUUUGGUAAGCAAACUGGCGCUGUGGGAUGAACCAAACGCCCGGUUAAGGCGCCUAAACGACGCACAUUUCGGAUCCCACGAAAAGGAGUUGGUUGCUAAAGACAGCAGACGGUGGCCAUGGAGGUCGGAAUCCGCUCAGGAGUGUGUAACAACUCACCUGCCGAAGCAACUAGCCCUUAAAAUGGGAGGCGCUAUAGCGUCGUGCCUAUACCGGGCCGUCGGUCGGCAGUGCGAAUAACGUCCGUGUCAGCUUCUAGAGAGCGACGGCGCUAGGCCCCGAUGAGUAGGGGGGUCGCGACGGUGAGCGUUGAAGGGUUGUGGGCGUGAGCCUGCCCGGAGCCGCCGUCGGUGCAGAUCUUGGUGGUAGUAGCAAAUACUCCACAGG